UACGGGGGGGGCAAGCGUUGUUCGGAAUUACUGGGCGUAAAGGGCUCGUAGGCGGCCAACUAAGUCCGACGUGAAAUCCCCAGGCUUAACCUGGGAACUGCGUCGGAUACUGGAUGGCUUGAAUUCGGGAGAGGGAUGCAGAAUUCCAGGUGUAGCGGUGAAAUGCGUAGAUAUCUGGAGGAAUACCGGUGGCGAAGGCGGCUUGCUGGGCCAGUUCUGACGCUGAGGAGCGAAAGCGUGGGGAGCGAACAGG
rnacentral:rRNA from 1 species